UCCCAAUGAUUAAAAUAUCUAGCUCACUUUGAACCAAUGUGAAAAGAGAUGAACAACUGAGCGAC